CUGCAACUACAGCUGCAAGGAAGAGAAGGUCCUCACACCUUCUGUCUGCCUACUUGUAGCAGCCAAGAUUGAAUGGGGGGAAACAGGA
rnacentral:snoRNA from 1 species